rnacentral:rRNA from 1 species
GACGAACGCUGGCGGCGUGCCUAAUACAUGCAAGUAGAACGCUGAAGAGAGGAGCUUGCUCUUCUUGGAUGAGUUGCGAACGGGUGAGUAACGCGUAGGUAACCUGCCUUGUAGCGGGGGAUAACUAUUGGAAGCGAUAGCUAAUACCGCAUAACAAUGGAUGACACAUGUCAUUUAUUUGAAAGGGGCAAUUGCUCCACUACAAGAUGGACCUGCGUUGUAUUAGCUAGUAGGUGAGGUAACGGCUCACCUAGGCGACGAUACAUAGCCGACCUGAGAGGGUGAUCGGCCACACUGGGACUGAGACACGGCCCAGACUCCUACGGGAGGCAGCAGUAGGGAAUCUUCGGCAAUGGGGGCAACCCUGACCGAGCAACGCCGCGUGAGUGAAGAAGGUUUUCGGAUCGUAAAGCUCUGUUGUAAGUCAAGAACGAGUGUGAGAGUGGAAAGUUCACACUGUGACGGUAGCUUACCAGAAAGGGACGGCUAACUACGUGCCAGCAGCCGCGGUAAUACGUAGGUCCCGAGCGUUGUCCGGAUUUAUUGGGCGUAAGGCGAGCGCAGGCGGUUUGAUAAGUCUGAAGUUAAAGGCUGUGGCUCAACCAUAGUUUGCUUUGGAAACUGUCAAACUUGAGUGCAGAAGGGGAGAGUGGAAUUCCAUGUGUAGCGGUGAAAUGCGUAGAUAUAUGGAGGAACACCGGUGGCGAAAGCGGCUCUCUGGUCUGUAACUGACGCUGAGGCUCGAAAGCGUGGGGAGCGAACAGGAUUAGAUACCCUGGUAGUCCACGCCGUAAACGAUGAGUGCUAGGUGUUGGAUCCUUUCCGGGAUUCAGUGCCGCAGCUAACGCAUUAAGCACUCCGCCUGGGGAGUACGACCGCAAGGUUGAAACUCAAAGGAAUUGACGGGGGCCCGCACAAGCGGUGGAGCAUGUGGUUUAAUUCGAAGCAACGCGAAGAACCUUACCAGGUCUUGACAUCCCGAUGCUAUUUCUAGAGAUAGAAAGUUACUUCGGUACAUCGGUGACAGGUGGUGCAUGGUUGUCGUCAGCUCGUGUCGUGAGAUGUUGGGUUAAGUCCCGCAACGAGCGCAACCCCUAUUGUUAGUUGCCAUCAUUCAGUUGGGCACUCUAGCGAGACUGCCGGUAAUAAACCGGAGGAAGGUGGGGAUGACGUCAAAUCAUCAUGCCCCUUAUGACCUGGGCUACACACGUGCUACAAUGGUUGGUACAACGAGUUGCAAGUCGGUGACGGCAAGCUAAUCUCUUAAAGCCAAUCUCAGUUCGGAUUGUAGGCUGCAACUCGCCUACAUGAAGUCGGAAUCGCUAGUAAUCGCGGAUCAGCACGCCGCGGUGAAUACGUUCCCGGGCCU